AGUCGAACGGCAGCACGGGAGCAAUCCUGGUGGCGAGUGGCGAACGGGUGAGUAAUACAUCGGAACGUGUCCUGUAGUGGGGGAUAGCCCGGCGAAAGCCGGAUUAAUACCGCAUACGCUCUGCGGAGGAAAGCGGGGGAUCCUUCGGGACCUCGCGCUACAGGGGCGGCCGAUGGCAGAUUAGCUAGUUGGUGGGGUAAAGGCCUACCAAGGCGACGAUCUGUAGCUGGUCUGAGAGGACGACCAGCCACACUGGGACUGAGACACGGCCCAGACUCCUACGGGAGGCAGCAGUGGGGAAUUUUGGACAAUGGGCGCAAGCCUGAUCCAGCAAUGCCGCGUGUGUGAAGAAGGCCUUCGGGUUGUAAAGCACUUUUGUCCGGAAAGAAAACCUCCGCCCUAAUAUGGUGGGGGGAUGACGGUACCGGAAGAAUAAGCACCGGCUAACUACGUGCCAGCAGCCGCGGUAAUACGUAGGGUGCAAGCGUUAAUCGGAAUUACUGGGCGUAAAGCGUGCGCAGGCGGUCCGCUAAGACAGAUGUGAAAUCCCCGGGCUUAACCUGGGAACUGCAUUUGUGACUGGCGGGCUAGAGUAUGGCAGAGGGGGGGUAGAAUUCCACGUGUAGCAGUGAAAUGCGUAGAGAUGUGGAGGAAUACCGAUGGCGAAGGCAGCCCCCUGGGCCAAUACUGACGCUCAUGCACGAAAGCGUGGGGAGCAAACAGGAUUAGAUACCCUGGUAGUCCACGCCCUAAACGAUGUCAACUAGUUGUCGGGUCUUCAUUGACUUGGUAACGUAGCUAACGCGUGAAGUUGACCGCCUGGGGAGUACGGUCGCAAGAUUAAAACUCAAAGGAAUUGACGGGGACCCGCACAAGCGGUGGAUGAUGUGGAUUAAUUCGAUGCAACGCGAAAAACCUUACCUACCCUUGACAUGUAUGGAAUCCUGCCGAGAGGGGGGAGUGCCCGAAAGGGAGCCAUAACACAGGUGCUGCAUGGCUGUCGUCAGCUC
rnacentral:rRNA from 1 species